UGCAGCUGGAGAUGGAGCCCAGAAUAGCACUGAGAGUAGCACAGGGAAGCUGGCUGGUCUGGACCUGGCUGACUUUGACACCUGAGAUACAGUCCAGGCUGGUAAGAAGAAACACAAGCACUGGGCACCUCCUUUGGAAGGGAAACUCAACACCUGGGCAGUGAUGUGAAAGCUGUGCUCAGGGUGGAAGCCAGUAAGACCACAGGCAGCAGAAGAGGAAUUGGCUUGGAGGCAUCUUCUACAGUUGUACUGCAAGCAGGGCUGCUGUUGUACCAGGUACCAUACACUGCAGAACCCUGGGAAUGACAUUAUUUACUGCAACUCAGUUGGUCAGCAAACAGAAACACUUCAUCUCAGUUAUUAUUACUAAUGGCAUGGAAAAAAAUAUAUCAAAACCUCUUGUUCUGCAACAAAAUACUUUUUCACUGGGAAUCAGAUGUAUUGAAAGAAGCAUUUGAAAACUGAUACCAUUUAUUCCUCUUAAAAGCAAAGUCACCUUUACAAGGAAAAUAACUCCAGUUUGAUCUUUCCACCUUCUCAUACCAUGACAAUUUUAUCACUCAUUCACUAAAUAUAACACAAGUUAAAGCAGUGUGCCUUUUAUAACCAAAGAGGUCAAGACCUUGAGCUAUUUCAAUGAAGUGUGUUUUCCAGACAUCUACAAGUUUUGUGGCAAGGGUUUUUCAUUGCCAUAUCACGCUUACAGGGGAAGUUAAACUUCAACUGAUCCCAUGCUUAAGUGAAAAGGCUCAGUUUUGGUUUCCUGUUGGGACUU